AAGGCACAUCUCCUUGAAUCAAGUUGCCACAAAAAAAAACGUCAGCACAUAAUCAGCCAUAUUUCCUUUUCUUCUUUGAUUGAAACUUUCUUUUCUUUUUCUUUUUCAUCCUGAUUGUUCGAAACCUAUCCUUGAUUAUGCAUUUCCUUUCUUUCCACCAAGUGAACCUAGACUAUUUGUAAAACUCAUACACAUCUCUUUUCCAUAAAUGGGCGAGACUUGUGAGUGCGAUAAAACCCUCACACCUAGCAUACGGUUCGACACCAGCACCACCACAACACGCCUCCACACCCCGUAACACCAUCUGAACCACCUUCACGCUCGCCGGAAUAUCCAGACACUACCGGAGAUCAACGGAAGCCGUAUCGAAGUCGCUGGCGUCAUACGAGUUCGCGACGGAAACCGUAUAAGAUGUGUUCGGGUAAUCGUUCCCAUUCGUUUGGUUUCCAAAACUUUUUCUUCGUGCGUUAUUUCAAGAAAUCACAAACGCAAUCAAUGUUAAUUAUUGAGACGAUACUCAAGACGAAACAAGAUUUAGGGUGGAC